GCCUUUGUGGUGUAAUGGUCAGCAUUCUCGACGCGUAACCGAAAGGUCCGUGGUUCGAUUCCCGGCGAAGGCG
rnacentral:tRNA from 1 species